rnacentral:rRNA from 1 species
UACGUAGGGUGCAAGCGUUGUCCGGAAUUAUUGGGCGUAAAGAGCUCGUAGGCGGUUUGUCACGUCGGAUGUGAAAACCCGAGGCUUAACCUCGGGCCUGCAUUCGAUACGGGCUGACUAGAGUUCGGUAGGGGAGACUGGAAUUCCUGGUGUAGCGGUGAAAUGCGCAGAUAUCAGGAGGAACACCGGUGGCGAAGGUGGUUCUCUGGGCAUGUCCUGACGCUGAGGAGCGAAAGUGUGGGGAGCGAACAGG